rnacentral:misc_RNA from 1 species
GAUGAAGAACGCAGCGAAAUGCGAUAAGUAAUGUGAAUUGCAGAAUUCAGUGAACCAUCGAAUCUUUGAACGCACAUUGCGCCCGGCAGUAAUCUGCCGGGCAUGCCUGUCCGAGCGUCAUUUCUCCCCUCGAGCGCAGCUUUCCCCCCCGGGGGAGGGCCGCGCCCGGUGUUGGGGCGCUACGGAGGAGCCCAGCGCUCCCCCGUAGGCCCCGAAAUGUAGUGGCGGUCCCGCCGCGGCGCCCCCUGCGUAGUAGUUUUACAACUCGCAUCGGGUCCCGGCGGAGGACAGCCGUCAAACCCCCCAACUUCAAUCGUUUGACCUCGGAUCAGGUAGGGUUACCCGCUGAACUUAAGCAUAUCAAUAAGCGGAGGA